GGAGAGGUGGCAGAGUGGUCGAAUGCGCACGCCUGGAGAGCGUGUGACCCGCAAGGGUUCCAGGGUUCGAAUCCCUGCCUCUCCGCCA
rnacentral:tRNA from 1 species